GGAGCCCCAGCACCGCCUCCUGUGGCAUCCAGAGGGCGCAGACGCUGAGAUCCGCGGCGCAGCCAUUCACGAUGAAGGCGUUGCUGGUGGUCUGCAGCUUUCGGAAGGACGACACGAGAUAGAUGACCAUACCGUUGGCCAGCGUGCCCCCGAUGGCCAGGCCCGAGUACAGGAGAGACACCGGGAUCCGCCGGCCCGCCCACGAUUCUUCUUCCUCGCAGAGCAGCAGCAGCGAUCCCCCGACACCUCUCCUCUUGGCUUGUGUUUCGGCGGGAUGAGAGAAGUGUGAGUACCAUAGUCAGGCGAUCUAAAGAUGGAGUCCAUCGUCCAGCUAGACAAUGGAACACCAGUUAGCAAUGAAGAGGAAUCAUCUGUCAAGACAUAAAACACCUAAGGAAACCGGAAAUGCUUGUUAUUAAGCAAAAGAAGCAUCUGAAAAGGCUGCGCACUGCCCAAGCCCAACUGUAUUCCAUACUGGGAAACGUAAAACUGCAGGGACCACCAGCUGUCGGGAGGGGGGGGGGGGGGGCUAGGGACCGGGAGGUGGAAUACAGGGCAGGGAAACUACUCUGGAUGGUACUCUGAUGGUGGAAAACAUCACUGUACGUUUGUCCAAACCUACUAGAUAAACACCCAGAGAACCUGUGUGUAAAUUAUGGGGUCAAUGUAAACGUGUCAGGAUGCUUCAUCGAUUGUGACAAAUGAGCCAAUGUAAUGGAAGAUAUGACAACUGGGAAGUUGUGUGUGUGCUGAGUAGGAACUGUGUGGUGAUCCCUCUCCUCCUCCUCCUCCUUCUUCCUCUCUCUCUCUCUCUCUCUCUCUCUCUCUCUCU
rnacentral:lncRNA from 1 species